UACGGUCAUAUGGAGUUGAAACACCGGUUUCCGUACGAUUACCGAAGUUAAGCAACGUCGAGCCUGCUCAGUAACUAUAUGGGUGACUGCUUAGGAAUACCUGGUACU